UGAGGAAUAUUGCACAAUGGGGGAAACCCUGAUGCAGCAACGCCGCGUGGAGGAUGAAGGUUCUUGGAUUGUAAACUCCUUUUCUGAGGGAAGAGAAAGGACGGUACCUCAGGAAUAAGUCACGGCUAACUACGUGCCAGCAGCCGCGGUAAUACGUAGGUGACAAGCGUUAUCCGGAAUUACUGGGCGUAAAGGGCACGCAGGCGGCUAUUCAAGUCUGAUGUGAAAUCUCCCGGCUUAACUGGGAGCGGUCGUUGGAUACUGUUUAGCUUGAGGCAAUGAGAGGGGUAUGGAAUUCCCGGUGUAGUGGUGGAAUGCGUAGAUAUCGGGAGGAACACCAGUGGCGAAAGCGGUACCCUGGCAUUGUCCUGACGCUCAUGUGCGAAAGCGUGGGUAGCGAACGGGAUUAGAUACCCCCGUAGUCC
rnacentral:rRNA from 1 species